rnacentral:rRNA from 1 species
AUGAUUGUAGAGUGUGUGCAGGCGGGGAGCCCGAGAUUUUUUUUUGUCUCUGGGUACGGUGGUACUGGGAAGACAUACCUGUGGAGUGCAAUAUGUGCUUUCCUUAGGGACGAGAGGAAGAAAGUUCUUACUGUUGCGUCAUCGGGAAUUGCAUCGCUGUUGUUGCCUAGUGGGAGGACCGCUCAUUCUUGCUUUAAGAUACCUAUUCUUCUUGAAGAUAAUACACAGUGUGAUAUUAAAAGAGGCUCUAAGCUUUGUAAGUUGCUUAUGGUAUCUUCGCUUGUUAUUUGGGACGAGGCGCUGAUGACACACAGGAAAUGCUUUGAGGCUGUAGAUAGAACUUUACGUGAUGUCCUCUCUGUGGCUAAUCCAGAUCUUGCGGAUAUUCCGUUCGGUGGAGUAGUGAUGGUCUUGGGUGGUGACCUUAGACAAAUCUUACCGGUCGUUGAGGGAGGUACUAGGCCUCAGAUCAUUGAUGCGGCAAUCACGAAUUCUCCGCUAUGGUAUUCUCUACAAAAAUUGUCCCUUUCUAUUAACAUGCGCUUGGGUGUGCAUGGUGCGGAUACCCAGGCGCAGAAGGAUGUUGCCUUAUUUAGCAGAUGGAUGCUAGAUCUUGGGGAAGGGAUGUUGCCUGUCACAAGGCGAGGCGAUGAGGUUCAGGCUUCUUGGAUACAGAUACCGGACGACCUCUUGGUUUGUACGUCUGGUGAUCCAAUAGCUGCUAUUGUUUCUUUUGUCUAUGGUGAUUUUUUGCAUAACUACCUGGGCUCUGGUUACUUGCAAGAGAGAGCCAUUUUAGCCCCUACCAAUGACCAUGCUGAGGAUAUUAAUGAUCAUAUUCUUGCAUUGGUUCCUACUGAUAGCAGAGACUAUUUGAGUGCUGAUUCUAUUGACGAUUCUUCGGAUUCUGUUAGGGACAAAGAUGUUUACUAUCCAGUCGAGUACCUGAAUGCAACUAAAAUUAUAAAUUUCCCAAAUCAUAGGCUGGCUCUUAAGGUUGGUGUUCCGAUUAUGCUUCUUAGAAACCUGAGCCAGGCAAAUGGUUUGUGUAAUAGUACAUGA